AAGGAGUCACAUUGGUUUUGUAGUUACUACUUCCCCUCACGGGGUUUGUCUAUAUAGGAAAUUAUGUGUUUGGACAUGUGUGAUGGUGGAAUUCACCCAUGUGAUCAACAACCUCAAACUAUCAUCUAAUUUGUGGCCACAACGACCAUUUUUAUCCAUCGAGAUGAGCAUGCAAACUCUAAGUGUUGUUGGUCGGCUCAGGAAUUGUGGGUUAUUGAAAACCAGAGGUCUUAUUGGAGGAAAAUGGACCGAUGCAUAUGACGGCAGAACUAUUCAGGUUAACAACCCUGCGGAUGGUGAAGUUAUAGCUACUGUUCCAUGCAUGGGUGAGAUGGAAACGAAAGAUGCGAUUUCGGCAGCGUAUGAUGCUUUUACCCACUGGAGCAAACUCACUGCUGCUGACAGGAGUAGCCGCCUUCGUAACUGGUAUAAUUUACUGAUCGCACACAAACAAGAGAUUGGACAACUCUUAACUUUGGAGCAAGGAAAACCUCUAAGAGAAGCUAUUGCGGAGGUGGCAUAUGCGGCUAGAUUCAUAGAGUUGUUUGCAGAGGAGGCAAAACGCGUUUAUGGCGAUAUAAUUCCAUCGCCACUGCCUAAUCGCCGCUUGUUUGUUCUUAAAGAGCCGGUUGGUGUGGUUGGUGCAAUCACUCCAUGGAAUUUCCCCAUCGCAAUGAUUGCUCGCAAGGUUGGCCCUGCUCUUGCCUGUGGCUGUACUGUGGUCAUAAAGCCCUCUGAGCUCACACCAUUGACCGCCUUAGCAGCAGCUGAGCUGGCCCUUCAAUCUGGAAUUCCGCCUGGUGUCUUGAAUGUGGUCAUGGGAGAUCCUCCUAGCAUUGGUGAUUCUCUACUUGAGAGCACACAGGUCAGGAAGAUAACAUUUACUGGUUCCACUGGUGUUGGAAAGAAACUGAUGGCUGGUGCAUCAGAGACUGUUAAAAAGGUAUCUCUUGAACUUGGUGGUAACGCGCCUUGCAUAAUCUUCGAUGAUGCUGACCUGGAAUUGGCAGUGAAGGGGAGUUUGUCAACUAAAUUCAAUAACACUGGACAACAAUGUGUAUGCACAAAUAGAAUACUUGUGCAAGAAGGUAUAUAUGAUAGAUUUAUAAAUGCCUACUCAAAUGCCGUCCAGAACCUUAAAGUUGGCAAUGGUUUAAGUGAAGGUGUGACCCAGGGACCACUUAUCAAUGAAGCUGCUGUGAUGAAGGUUGAUUCACUUGUGCAAGAUGCUAUCUCAAAGGGAGCAAAAGUUAUUAUGGGUGGUAAGAGGCAUAGCUUAGGGUUUAGUUUCUACGAGCCUACGAUUAUAGGUGAUGUCAGGAAUGAGAUGCCCAUAGCAAGAGAGGAAGUAUUUGGACCUGUUGCACCUAUUAUACGGUUUAAAACCGAAGAAGAAGCUAUACAGAUUGCAAAUGAUACUAACUCAGGACUAGCUGCUUACGCGUUCACAAACUGUAUUCAACGCUCAUGGCGCGUCUCUGAAGCUCUAGAAUACGGCAUGGUUGGAGUGAAUGAGGGAUCAAUUUCUACAGAGGUGGCACCAUUUGGAGGUUAUAAGCAGUCAGGUUUAGGACGGGAGGGUUCAAAAUACGGACUGGAUGACUAUCUUGAAAUCAAGUAUGUUUGUAUGGGAAACAUGUGAUGAUUCUGGUUUUCAAGAUAUCUUGUAUCUGGCCAUUCUAUGCCAGUAAAUCGUCUGACGUUGUUUAGAUCCUCUGUUUUGGUUUUCAACAUCUGCCGUGGCCAAACGAAUGCAUUGGAGGAAAAGUUUUGCUAAUUUGACUUUUCUUACAAGUGUCUGUUUUAAGAAUUCCAAGCAGUUUUCUUGAAAUUGAUAUGUACGCGUUCAAGAAUCGAAGACCGGGCUUUCUUUUAUGCUCCAAUUAGGCUGCUUAGACUCCAAAUGUAUAGGUGUGAUCUGCAAAGCCUUUUUAUGGAAUUUACCAAGGCUCGUUCGGUGCCCAAUACUUAUGUAUGUGAUUCCUGCUGCAUUAACUUUUUC